rnacentral:rRNA from 1 species
GACGAACGCUGGCGGCGUGCUUAACACAUGCAAGUCGAACGGAGUGGCGAACGGGUGAGUAACACGUGGGUGAUCUGCCUUGCACUUCGGGGUAAGCUUGGGAAACUGGGUCUAAUACCGGAUAGUGCAAGAUGAGCUCGCGGCCUAUCAGCUUGUUGGUGGGGUAAUGGCCUACCAAGGCGUCGACGGGUAGCCGGCCUGGGAGGGUGUACGGCCACAUGGGGACUGCGAUACGGCCCAGACGCCGACGGGGGGCAGCGGUGGGGAAUAUGGCACAAUGGGGGGAAGCGUGAGGCAGCGACGCCGCGUGGGGGAUGAAGGUCUUCGGGUUGUAAACGCCUUUCGACAGGUACGCGGUACCUGGAGAAGAAGCACCGGCUAACUACGUGCCAGCAGCCGCGGUAAUAC